rnacentral:tRNA from 1 species
GAUCGCGUAGCUCAGUGGUAGAGCAUCUGCCUUUUAAGCAGAGGGCCGAUGGUUCGAUCCCAUCCGCGAUCA